GAACAUGAAAUAAAGACAUUUUCAACUCACAAACAAGCACAGGUUAAUCAGUGAGUUAGUUUUCAUUAAUAAUCAAACAGGCAACUCAUUCAGAUCAGUUGAUUAUUGAUUAACUUGCCCAACACAACAAAGAUGACAAAACAAGGUUAUGAUCUGCAAGCAACCAUGCACACCUACAAGAGAACUCUGGUAAAUGUUGAUAAAUGCAUCAACAAUUUCUAAAAAAUCUGAAUAAACAAAGUUGAAAAGUUUUUGAAAACGUAUUAUAAAUGUAAAUGUGUUAAGUCUAGAACAGGGGUCAUAAACUCCAGUCCUUGAAGGCUUGUGUUCUGCAGCUUUUACAGUAGAUGCACCUUUGCUUCAACACACCUGAAUCAAGCAGCCGGGUCAUUACUCUGUUAAACCUGACUGCAAGCUAAAGAGGCAGAUUUGUUUCAGUUGUGUUGGACAGGGGUACGUGUAAAUGUUACAGGACACUCAAGGACCUGAGUCUGAGACUCUGCUCCCAGAACAACACAAAUUCAGUACAGUGCAAACAUCAAAUGACAACUCCAAAGAAAAUAAUAUAUUUAAUAAAAGGUAUUGACUGUCUUCAAAAACUAUGCAAACAUACAUGUUUCUAAUCAACAUGAGGUCAUAGUAAUCUAUGGUGACAUUACACUUAAUAUUAAGUGAGUUUUUACAUACUUACUUCAGGCUGUUGCAAUUUGUCUCUAAACAAUUAUGCAAUAGUAGAAACCCCUCAAAAAAAUGAAAGCAGCUCAGAACAUACAGUAGCUUCUUUUUAUUAAAAUGUGCUCUUUGUCUAUCUUUUUGGGUUAGGAGGAGGUGUGGUUUGUGAUAUACAGUUUUAUUUAGCAUAUUUGAAACCCACAAAUGAGAAUGUCUCCCACAUCACUGGAUCCACUCUGUUCCACUUCCUGCUCUCUAUCAGCUUUUAAUCCCUUGUAUACAGUUUACAAUCCAUGCACGCCUUCGCAAACCCGGGAGCAUCGACUACCACACUUUACGGUCACUAACAAUGUAAAAGAACAUAUCUUACUGGCUUCAUUUCUUUUUCCAUAGGGGCUCGAGCUAAUCUGUCUAUUAGUAAGAAAAAACUUCUAAAAUAAAUGGAAAAUUAUAGAAAAAGAUUUGAAAAUGUAAACACAUAAGGUGUAAUUUACAGUCUCUUGAUAAAAUCUUGAUUUUUUUCUCUCUUUUUCAUGUUGAAUAAUCACAACAAAUACUAAAGCUAAAACGUUAUUUGUAGGUUAAAAGAAAAAAACAACAACUCUGAUCUCAUCUUAAAUAAAUUUUUUCACCCCCUCAAGAUUUUACUAGGCAGAAGAUGCAUUUAGAUGUGACUUUAUGUAAAGCACGGCUGGCCCAAUUGAAACCCAAGUAUUGGAUCAGGGUCCCAGUCCAAAAACUGUGUAUUUUGUGUGCAUGGCUUGCAAACUUUGUUAAGACAUGUACAUUUUUUGUUGAUCUAAUGAAUCUGUCUUUUUCUAAAUCUAUGUAUUUCUGAACUUUAUAACAAAUUAAUUUUAGAACAUGUACUAAACAUUGUUUUUAUGAAGUUUCGGACAACACUCACCAUUAGCAAAGGCCUAUUCUUAAAGACGUUGGAUCAGUUUGGGUGACAAAUGAUUUAACUUGGAUAAAAGACAGUUCCUGCUCAAGCACUGUAGUACAUAGCUAUAAAUGGACUAACACCAAUGCACAAUAAACACGAUAAUAAAAAGAUCCAUAGUGCCUUCAACAAAUAUUUGUCCUCCUUGAACUUUUUCAGAUUUUGUCAUGCUGCAGCCACAAAUUCAAUGUAUUUUAUUAAAAUUUUAUGUGACAGACCAACACAAAGUAGUGUCAUAAUCACAAAGAAAAAGAACACUAGGUGUCAAAUUCUAUUUUUACAAAUAGUCUGUCGUUAGUGGCGUCUAAACUGACAGGCCAGAGGAGCAGCCAAGAGAUAACUUUGGAGGACCUGCAAAAAUCUGCAGCUGAGGUGGGAGAAUCCGUUCACAUGAGAAGUAGUAGUGAAACACUUCACAAAUCUGGACUUUAUGGAAGAGUACCAAGAAAAAAAGAAAAUGUUUAAAGAAAGUUGUGCAAAGUCACAAGCAAUGCAGUGGGCCCAGCAAACAUGUGGAACAAGGUGCUCUGGUCACAAGAGAUCAGAAUUUAACUUUUCUAACACUUUACCGCCUUAAACACACCAUUGCAACUGUAAACAUGUUGGUGGCAGCAUACGUUUUUUCAGCAGGAAAAGGUAGCUGGUCAAAGUUGAUCGCAAGAUAGAUCAGACGAAAUACAGGGCGAUUAUAUAAGGACCCCUGUAAGAGGUUGUGAAAGACUUGGAUCUGGGAUGGAGCUUCACUUUCCAGCAGGAUAUUAAUGGAAAUUUGUGGUUGUAAAGUCACAAAAUGUUUGGCAGUUCAAGGGUAAUGAAUUCUUUUACCAAAGAAAAUGUGCUAUAUUUAAUCAUAACAAUCCAAAACCAGUUUUAAAUUACACAUAUGAUUAUGUCUGUCUGAAUUAGAAGCUAUAAACUGAAUGAAACAGACCCAGAAUCUGUCAUUGUGUAUUUAUUCAAAUUCAAAGACAUAGUCUUAUGUAACACACAUAGCCCGUUAGUUGAAUUUAUCAAUAGCAACUUCCUUUAAUUUUGCCAGAUGAGGCUCCACAAGUCUUACAUGCUCUACUUUAUUUGACCAAACUACACUUUACUACAAUCUUCCUGACAAUGAUUCAGCAGUAAAGCUCACCACCUCUCCAAUACUUCUACUCAGUCACCUACUGUACCUUACUAAAUGCAUGCAUCAGUUCUUAAUACUUGGCUCAGUUUUCAGUCAAGAACCUGAAGUUGCCUUCGCUUUAAAUGCUAACAGCAUCAUUUUUUAUAUUUCUUAUACUUUAGCUUCACAGAACAAUAUUUAUUUAAUUGACAUGAAUUGAAUUUUUGUAAUUACACAUUGGAAAAUAAUAGGAGGUAUAAGGUUUGAUGAGAUUAAACAAAAUGACUAACAUCAAGGCAUGAUGGUUUUGCUAGUGCCAGUUUAGAAGGAUGAAAAAGGGACAGAGUAAAGAGAUACAGCUUACAUAGAAGGAAGGAUGUUUAUUUUUAAACAACACAGGACGAUUCUAGGGUUCUGUACAAGUGAUGGGGUGCAACUGACUCGAAAACAUGAGGAUAGAAAAGCAAAGACAGGGAGGAAAAGAAAAAUGGAGAGCAGGCUGGAGAGAGCAGACAGGUUCUGCUCGGGCAGUAGGAGGCAUCU